UGGGGAAUAUUGGACAAUGGGGGCAACCCUGAUCCAGCCAUGCCGCGUGAGUGAUGAAGGCCUUCGGGUUGUAAAACUCUUUUGGCGGGGACGAUGAUGACGGUACCCGCAGAAUAAGCCCCGGCUAACUUCGUGCCAGCAGCCGCGGUAAGACGAAGGGGGCUAGCGUUGUUCGGAAUUACUGGGCGUAAAGCGAGUGUAGGCGGUUGCCGUAGUCAGGUGUGAAAGCCUUGAGCUCAACUCAAGAAAUGCACUUGAUACUGGGUGACUAGAGGACCGGAGAGGAUAGUGGAAUUCCCAGUGUAGUGGUGAAAUACGUAGAGAUUGGGAAGAACACCAGUGGCGAAGGCGGCUAUCUGGACGGUUACUGACGCUAAGACUCGAAAGCGUGGGGAGCAAACAGGAUUAGAUACCCUGGUAGUCCACGCCGUAAACGAUGGGUGCUAGACGUUGGCGAGCUUGCUCGUCAGUGUCGCAGCUAACGCGUUAAGCACCCCGCCUGGGGAGUGCGGCCGCAAGGUUGAAACUCAAAGGAAUUGACGGGGGUCAUAGCUGUUUCCU
rnacentral:rRNA from 1 species